AGUGAAGCGGGAAAAGCUCAAAUUUAAAAUCUGGCGGUCUUUGGUCGUCCGAGUUGUAAUCUAGAGAAGUAAUGCCCGUGCUGGACCGUGUAUAAGUCUCCUGGGAUGGGGCGUCAUAGAGGGUGAGAAUCCCGUCUUUGACACGGACUACCAGUGCAUUGUGGUAUGCUCUCAAAGAGUCGAGUUGUUUGGGAAUGCAGCUCAAAAUGGGUGGUAAAUUCCAUCUAAAGCUAAAUAUUGGCGAGAGACCGAUAGCGAACAAGUACCGUGAGGGAAAGAUGAAAAGAACUUUGGAAAGAGAGUUAAACAGUACGUGAAAUUGCUGAAAGGGAAACGCUUGAAGUCAGUCGCGUUGGCCGGGGAUCAGCCUUGCUUUUGCAUGGUGUACUUUCUGGUUGACGGGUCAGCAUCAAUUUUGACCGCUGGAAAAGGGCCUGGGGAAUGUGGCAGCUUCGGCUGUGUUAUAGCCCCUGGUCACAUACGGCGGUUGGGAUUGAGGAACUCAGCACGCCGCAAGGCCGGGUUUCGACCACGUUCGUGCUUAGGAUGCUGGCAUAAUGGCUUUAAGCGACCCGUCUUGAAACACGGACCAAGGAGUCUAACAUGCCUGCGAGUAUUUGGGUGAAAAACCCGAGUGCGCAAUGAAAGUGAAAGUUGAGAUCCCAGUCGUGGGGAGCAUCGACGCCCGGACCAGAACUUUUGGGACGGAUCCGCGGUGGAGCAUGUAUGUUGGGACCCGAAAGAUGGUGAACUAUGCCUGAAUAGGGUGAAGCCAGAGGAAACUCUGGUGGAGGCUCGUAGCGAUUCUGACGUGCAAAUCGAUCGUCAAAUUUGGGUAUCAGGGGCGAAAGACUAAUCGAACCA
rnacentral:rRNA from 1 species